rnacentral:rRNA from 1 species
AACGAACGCUGGCGGCAGGCCUAACACAUGCAAGUCGAACGGGAUCUUCGGAUCUAGUGGCGGACGGGUGAGUAACGCGUGGGAACGUGCCCUUUGGUUCGGAAUAGCCCCGGGAAACUGGGAGUAAUACCGGAUAAGCUCUACGGAGGAAAGAUUUAUCGCCAAAGGAUCGGCCCGCGUUGGAUUAGGUAGUUGGUGAGGUAAUGGCUCACCAAGCCGACGAUCCAUAGCUGGUGUGAGAGGAUGAUCAGCCACACUGAGACUGAGACACGGCCCAGACUCCUACGGGAGGCAGCAGUGGGGAAUCUUAGACAAUGGGGAAAACCCUGAUCUAGCCAUGCCGCGUGAUCGAUGAAGGCCUUAGGGUUGUAAAGAGCUUUCAGUGGGGAAGAUAAUGACUGUACCCACAGAAGAAGCCCCGGCUAACUCCGUGCCAGCCGCCGCCGUAAAAC